CCCGCCCCGCGCCGCCUCUCUGGUUUGUGCGCCCGUCGCAGGUCGCAGGCCUCUUUGUCAGCUGGAGUUGCGCGGGCUGACGCGCCACUAUGUAGCGGGUUUCGGGCGGGCCACGCGUGCGGGACAGGAACCCAACCCCAGCCGACCUUGAGCUCCAGGAGUUCGUCUCUUACGUCUGCGGAAGUGCAGCUGCCUCAGUUCUUAGCGCAGCUCUACAAGUUUCACGCUGUUUAAGUCAUGAACCUACAAAAGCCUGUGAAAAAAUCUUUGAAGAUGCUCAGCUUGUUUCAGUCUGAAAUUUCUCCAAGACCAAUGAACAAAACAGGAUCAUGCCCUGAAUACACACCCAAGCUGCAGGCUCCUGCUUAGCCCUAUUUUGGUUUGGCCUCCAUGAGAUCUUCAGCCACAAUAGCAGGAGAUAAAAAUCUUCCUAGAAGCUUUCAUCAGCUGCAAGUUUUCUUACAGAAUGAAACUUUUCUGCUAUUUUUCUCAUAGUUAAUUGGCUAUUUGAGAAAACCGAAUUUCUGGCUCUCAGCAUUUAAUUGGAUUCUGUGGGUGACUGGAUGACCGCUUUGCACAUCACCAUGGGGUCUUCCUCUGUCACCCAGGCUGGAUGGAGUAUAGUGGAACAAUCAUAGUUCACUGCGGCCUUGGUACCCUAGGCUCAAGCGAUCCUCCCACCUCAGCCUCCUGAGUAGGUGGGACCACAGGUGUGUACCACCAGACCUGGCUAAUUUUGUUAUUGUUGUUUUUUAUAGAGGUGGGGGGGUCUCCCUAUGUUGCCCAGGCCUGUCUUGAACUCACGGGCUCAAGUGAUCCUCCUGCCUCAGCCUCCCAAAGUUCUGGGAUUACAGGGGUGAGCCACUGGACCCAGCCAGAAACUACUUUUAACAGUUCUAAUUGCCACUUGUCUUGGCUGUAUAUUCAGAAAUAG
rnacentral:lncRNA from 1 species